GUGAGGAAUAUUGGUCAAUGGCCGUAAGGCUGAACCAGCCAAGUAGCGUGAAGGAUGACCGCCCUAUGGGUUGUAAACUUCUUUUAUAAAGGAAUAAAGUCACCUACGUGUAGGUGUUUGUAUGUACUUUAUGAAUAAGCAUCGGCUAACUCCGUGCCAGCAGCCGCGGUAAUACGGAGGAUGCGAGCGUUAUCCGGAUUUAUUGGGUUUAAAGGGAGCGCAGACGGGCUGUUAAGUCAGCUGUGAAAUGCCGCGGCUCAACCGUGGACCUGCAGUUGAUACUGGCGGCCUUGAGUGCGGUUGAGGCAGGCGGAAUUCGUGGUGUAGCGGUGAAAUGCUUAGAUAUCACGAAGAACCCCGAUUGCGAAGGCAGCCUGCCAAUCCGUUACUGACGUUCAUGCUCGAAGGUGCGGGUAUCAAACAGGAUUAGAAACCCUAGUAGUCC
rnacentral:rRNA from 1 species